rnacentral:rRNA from 1 species
UACGUAGGUGGCAAGCGUUGUCCGGAAUUAUUGGGCGUAAAGCGCGCGCAGGCGGUCCUUUAAGUCUGAUGUGAAAGCCCACGGCUCAACCGUGGAGGGUCAUUGGAAACUGGAGGACUUGAGUACAGAAGAGGAAAGCGGAAUUCCACGUGCAGCGGUGAAAUGCGUAGAGAUGUGGAGGAACACCAGUGGCGAAGGCGGCUUUCUGGUCUGUAACUGACGCUGAGGCGCGAAAGCGUGGGGAGCAAACAGG